GCCGGCAUGGCUCAGUGGCAGAGCAUUUUCUUGGUAAGAAAAGGGUCGUGAGUCCGAUUCUCACUGCCGGCU
rnacentral:tRNA from 1 species